CCUGCAUUGUACACACUGUGUGUAUUGACUGGAAAUGCACAGCGCAUACAAUGUGGAUU
rnacentral:pre_miRNA from 1 species